GACUAAAUAGUUAAAAAAUAACAUUGGCCUUGUAAGUCAAAAUUGAAUAUUUUCUUUAGUCU
rnacentral:tRNA from 1 species